CCGAGAGGAGCCCAUCCCGGAGUGGGAGCGCGUCUGGAGCGCACCGCCGUGAAGAGGAGCGGAGGGGAAGGAGGAGGGAGAAGCGCCGCUGAUCCAGAAUCAGCUGACUCAGAGUUUACCGAACCAGCGCGCGACAAAGGUUUCACGUCUCACUGCUGCAGGAGCAGCAGCCAUCUCUGCAACCAGAGCAGGAAUCCCUGCAUGGAGAGGAUGGAUGAAUGGAGAAGAAAAUUAGCUUACGCACCAACUAAACACACCAAACAUGUGGGCUGAAACAAAAGGAAGCUCGCCGAGGGCAUCUCAGAAGAACCAACAGGAGUUUUAAGCUGCAGCUGCUUUUUCCCCUGUUCUGAAUUGUUGGAUCCGUCUGAAAACAAGUGAUCUGUGUCUCAGCUAAAUCCUUCAGAGUCAUAUUUUGUUGCAACAUGACAAACUUUGUUCAUCUUGUAGUGAAUUAGUGUCACUGACAAGCCUGAGCGGCUACUUCACUAAACAUUCCUUGAUUUAGCACCAAGAGUUUCAUCAGAGGAACGCUCGGAGGGACGAGGAUGUUCGGAGGUGAUUCCUGAAAGGGCAGAGUCAGCAUCCUCUGAGGAGGAGACGCUCAUAAAGUGGUUGUUGUGUUUGUUGUGUUUUUGUUUAUCUUUCUCAUUGAUGAUUGAGUAUUUUGUCGUUCUGGGCUGAGUUUUGCUGUUCGUCCUGUUCACUGCACACGGCCGGUCCGAUCAUUAGCACCAGCGUUCAGUCUUACAUUUGGGUUUUCCCUUUUUCAGGCAUCUCCAAACAUCUUUACAGCAAAGUGACAAAAAAAAAUGUCCCCAAAUGCAGGCUGAAAAAACAAUUUCACCUUUUUUCUGGUGACAGAUCUGUUGGGAUUCAGCUCAUGGCAACAAACCAUUCAUCACAUCUAGAGUUUCCCUUCUCACUUUAUUAAGGACAGGAGGGUAAAAAAUGAGCAUAUUUGUUUAAUUUCACUUUGUUUCAUGAAUAAUUAUUGUUGUAGUCAGAGUGCAACACCAGCUGUUGCCCUUUUACCGGCGACAAUUACGUUUCAUGAGUUAAUCAUUGGGAGUCCUUCACUUGUAAUAAAGGACGAAUAUUAGUCACUGAUGCUGCAGCAGAUGGUUUCAGCUGAUCCACUGCAUCAUCGAUGAGGAGCAUCAACGGAUCUGAAACAGACCCUAAACUUUCUCAUCAACACCGCUUCUAUCAACUCCAUCACUAUAAAUCUUUGUAAUAAUGAAGGGAUUAACCUUCAGUACUCUGAUUUGAUCAUUUACUCAACAACAUAACUGUAAUAAAGAAAUAAAAUAGGCCUUUCCUACCUAUAGAUCCUCCACCAGGGGGCAGCAGCCAUUAAGAGGAUUGGAUAAGACAGGUUACUGAUGAAGCACCAGGUCAUCUACGGCAAGCUGACUGGACCACUAAUGGCAGCCCUGGUCUAAUGAGACCCAUUGGCCACUUUGAUAUGAACCUGGAAGUGUUUUGAUGUGUUCGUGAGCAUUCAGGUGAAAGAGCAUAACGUUUCUGUCCUGUUGCUCUUCUGUCUAUCCGCUGAAUAAUUCAUCAGUGUUGUCAGAACUCGGGGAACGCCAUAAAUUAAUUUGAGCUUUUGGGAAGUAUUUCUUGAACCCCGAGGUGUCAUCUGCUGUGCAUCAGAAUGCUAAUGCUCUUUAAGUACUCCAGUGGUACUAAGAAAGUGCCUCCUUGUUCAUGUUUGAAUGCUGAAGUAGCAGAGACCAUUUUAUUGCCUCAGUAAGGAGCCGGUGGCUUACAGGAGGAACAAUCGCAUCGUCCCUCAGGUAGCCGCUCCAUUUUCCAUCGGCAUUAUCCGAUUUCUGAAUCCAUCUGAAACACUUUAGGAACUAACCACUUUCGGUGGAGACCAAGCGGGAAGCUCCCACAGCUCACCUCAUCUAAUUUCCAAAGACACAUGCUGGUCCGCUCACAGACCCGCCAAAGCCUCGUGGAGUUUCACACACAUUUUCUACAUUCUCUAGGGAGCAGUCCUCCCUCAUAUGUGUGUUAAUGAGUCACUGCCUCAGCAAAAACCAAGCCUUGGACAGAACCGAAGGUCUGGAAGAACCGAACCUUCCCCCAGAGACUCCCCCUGUCAAGACACGUCUCUCCUCUCCCAACCUGAUAGUUUUCCUGCAAUUUUUCAAGUCAGCGUUUGCAGCAAAAGACUUUGUCCAAACUCAGCUCAAGGCAGUGUGUGUGUGUGUGUGUGUGUGUGUGUGU